CACGUAGGGCGCAAGCGUUGUCCGGAAUUAUUGGGCGUAAAGAGCUCGUAGGCGGACUGUCACGUCUGCUGUGAAAAGCUGGGGCUUAACCCUGGCCUUGCAGUGGAUACGGGCAGACUAGAGGUAGGUAGGGGAGAAUGGAAUUCCCGGUGUAGCGGUGAAAUGCGCAGAUAUCGGGAGGAACACCGGUGGCGAAGGCGGUUCUCUGGGCCGUAACUGACGCUGAGGAGCGAAAGCGUGGGGAGCGAACAGG
rnacentral:rRNA from 1 species